rnacentral:lncRNA from 1 species
AUGAGAUUGCAGCUGUUGUGGUUCCUGAACAGGUGGAGAAGGCAUACAAGGAGUCUGGAAUGAUGGUUCAUGAUAUUGAUGCUGUGAAGUAGCAUACCAUCCCAAGUUAGGAUCAGACCUCCUAGGAUCAUCGCUAUAACCAUACCGCACAGGGGAGAAUUUGUCUAGAAACUGAUGCUUCAGAUCUUCCCAACUGGUGACGGAUCCUGGAGGAAGACAAUACAGC